CCGUCGUCGAAAGGGAAACAGCCCAGAUCGUCGUCUAAGGUCCCCAAGCGUGUGCUAAGUGGGAAAGGAUGUGGAGUCGCAUAGACAGCCAGGAGGUUGGCUCAGAAGCAGCCACCCUUGAAAGAGUGCGUAACAGCUCACUGGUCUAGUGGUUCCGCGCCGACAAUGUAGCGGGGCUCAAGCACACCACCGAAGACGCGGCAGUAGCUUUGCUACUGGGUAGGAGAGCGUCCCAUGCGGGGCGAAGCGGCGGCGCAAGCCCGCCGUGGACCGCAUGGGAGUGAGAAUGCAGACAUGAGUAGCGAAAGACGGGUGAAGAUCCCGUCCGCUGGACGACCAAGGGUUCCAGGGCCACGUUCAUCGUCCCUGGGUGAGUCGGGUCCUAAGGCGAGGCCGACAGGCGUAGUCGAAUGGACGAACGGGUCGAUAUUCCCGUACCGGCAUGCAACCGGCAAAACCGAAUCCGCGAGUACUAACCUCCGGGUCCGGGCUUACGUCUCCUUCGGGAGCCGGAUGCCCUGGCCUGUUGGGACCGUAACGGUAGUAGGUCAGCGCGGGAGUGACGCAGAAGGGUAGCCGGCCGCGGAGGUGGUCUUCCGUGGUCAAGCACGCAGCCCGUCCCACAGGCAAAUCCGUGGGGCGCGUGGGCGAGGUGCGAUGAUGGGCGCCGCAGGGCGCGAUAUCCGGUGAUCCCGGCUGCCGAGAAAAGCUUCGGCGUGAGGCGGCGUGCCGCCCGUACCCCAAACCGACACUGGUGGUCAGGUAGAGAAUACCAAAGCGAUCGAGCGAAUCCUGGUCAAGGAACUCGGCAAAUCACUCCCGUUCCUUCGGUUUAAGGGAGACCCCCGAUGGUGAACACACUUGCUGUGGGAGCUUUUGGGGGUGGCACAGACCAGGGGGUAGCGACUGUUUACCAAAAACACAGGAGCGUGCGAAGGCGCAAGCCGCUGUAUACGCUCUGACGCCUGCCCGGUGCCGGAAGGUUAAGAGGAUCCGUCAGGCCUCGGCCGAAGCGGUGAAUUCAAGCCCCGGUAAACGGCGGUGGUAACUAUAACCAUCCUAAGGUAGCGAAAUUCCUUGUCGGGUAAGUUCCGACCUGCACGAAUGGCGUAACGACUUCCCCACUGUCUCGACCAGGAGCUCGGCGAAAUUGCAGUACGAGUAAAGAUGCUCGUUAAGCGCAGAAGGACGAAAAGACCCCGGGACCUUUACUAUACCUUGGUAUUGGCAUUCGGUGUGGAUUGUGUAGCAUAGGCGGAAGGCUUCGAAGCCACGGCGCCAGCCGCGGUGGAGCCGCAAGGUGAAAUACCGCUCUGUUCGCAUUGGAUGUCUAACCUCGACCAGUCAUCCUGGUCAGGGACAGUGCCUGGCGGGUAGUUUAACUGGGGCGGUUGCCUCCCAAAGAGUAACGGAGGCGCUCAAAGGUUCCCUCAGCCCGGUUGGCAAUCGGGUGGCGAGUGUAAGUGCACAAGGGAGCUUGACUGCGAGACUGACGGGUCGAGCAGGGACGAAAGUCGGAACUAGUGAUCCGGUGCCGGUGUACGGACGCGGCAUCGCUCAACGGAUAAAAGGUACCCCGGGGAUAACAGGCUGAUCAUUCCCAAGAGUCCAUAUCGACGGGAUGGUUUGGCACCUCGAUGUCGGCUCGUCGCAUCCUGGGGCUGGAGCAGGUCCCAAGGGUUCGGCUGUUCGCCGAUUAAAGCGGCACGCGAGCUGGGUUCAGAACGUCGUGAGACAGUUUGGUCUCUAUCCUCUGCGCUCGUCGGAAUGUUGAGGAGGCCUGCCCAUAGUACGAGAGGACCUGGGUGGACGAACCUCUGGUAUGCCGGUUGUCACGCCAGUGGCACGGCCGGUUGGCUACGUUCGGAAGGGAUAACCGCUGAAAGCAUCUAAGCGGGAAGCCUGCUCCAAGAUAAGCAUUCCAUAGGACUACGGGUCCUUGAAGUCCCCAUGCAGAACACGUGGUUGAUAGGCCGGACGUGGAAGCCCCGCGAGGGGUGGAGCCGACCGGUACUAACGGACGAAAGGCAACACGAC
rnacentral:rRNA from 1 species